rnacentral:rRNA from 1 species
ACAUGCAAGUCGAGGGGCAGCGGGAUUGAAGCUUGCUUCAAUUGCCGGCGACCGGCGCACGGGUGAGUAACGCGUAUCCAACCUUCCGUACACUCAGGGAUAGCCUUUCGAAAGAAAGAUUAAUACCUGAUGGUAUGAUGAGAUUGCAUGAUAGCAUCAUUAAAGAUUUAUCGGUGUACGAUGGGGAUGCGUUCCAUUAGGUAGUAGGCGGGGUAACGGCCCACCUAGCCAACGAUGGAUAGGGGUUCUGAGAGGAAGGUCCCCCACAUUGGAACUGAGACACGGUCCAAACUCCUACGGGAGGCAGCAGUGAGGAAUAUUGGUCAAUGGACGAGAGUCUGAACCAGCCAAGUAGCGUGAAGGAUGAAGGUCUUACGGAUUGUAAACUUCUUUUAUAAGGGAAUAAAACCUCCCACGUGUGGGAGCUUGUAUGUACCUUAUGAAUAAGCAUCGGCUAACUCCGUGCCAGCAGCCGCGGUAAUACGGAGGAUGCGAGCGUUAUCCGGAUUUAUUGGGUUUAAAGGGAGCGCAGACGGGUCGUUAAGUCAGCUGUGAAAGUUUGGGGCUCAACCUUAAAAUUGCAGUUGAUACUGGCGUCCUUGAGUGCGGUUGAGGUGUGCGGAAUUCGUGGUGUAGCGGUGAAAUGCUUAGAUAUCACGAAGAACUCCGAUUGCGAAGGCAGCACACUAAGCCGUAACUGACGUUCAUGCUCGAAAGUGUGGGUAUCAAACAGGAUUAGAUACCCUGGUAGUCCACACGGUAAACGAUGGAUACUCGCUGUUGGCGAUAUACGGUCAGCGGCUUAGCGAAAGCGUUAAGUAUCCCACCUGGGGAGUACGCCGGCAACGGUGAAACUCAAAGGAAUUGACGGGGGCCCGCACAAGCGGAGGAACAUGUGGUUUAAUUCGAUGAUACGCGAGGAACCUUACCCGGGCUUAA